UAGUGAGGAGGUUGGCUUGAAGGAUGGGUCAAACUAACACAGAACUUCCACCCAGGAGACCGCUGUUUGUGUCCCGUAUGAAACCAAAACAGAUUCAAACACAA